CCUACGGGAGGCAGUAGUGGGGAAUAUUGCACAAUGGGGGGAACCCUGAUGCAGCGACGCCGCGUGGGUGAAGGAGUAUUUCGGUAUGUAAAGCCCUAUCAGCAGGGAAGAACAAUGACGGUACCUGACUAAGAAGCACCGGCUAAAUACGUGCCAGCAGCCGCGGUAAUACGUAUGGUGCAAGCGUUAUCCGGAUUUACUGGGUGUAAAGGGAGCGCAGGCGGCGCGUUAAGCCUGGUGUGAAAGUCCGCGGCCCAACCGCGGGACUGCAUUGGGAACUGGCGCGCUGGAGUGCCGGAGGGGUAGGCGGAAUUCCUAGUGUAGCGGUGAAAUGCGUAGAUAUUAGGAGGAACACCAGUGGCGAAGGCGGCCUACUGGACGGUGACUGACGCUGAGGCUCGAAAGCAUGGGGAGCAAACAGGAUUAGAUACCCGGGUAGUC
rnacentral:rRNA from 1 species